GGGCGCGGCCCCAGGCGGAGGGGCCCCGGCAGCGGCCCGGGGAGGGGUCAGAGCCGCGGGGUGCGGGGUGCGGGGUGCGGGGCGAGGAAGACCAGCCCUAGACCACCGCCCGCGUCUGCUUGGGAGACUGGGGGCGGAGGACGGAGCCCCCCGAGGGGGCGAGGUGGGACUCACGGCCUAGGCAGCGCGGAUAACUCCCGUCCUCUGUCCUUCCUGCAGUGGGUGCUCAGGGGCUACUCGCUCCACGAACGAGCCAGUGAAUGCAGCCAUCUCGCAGGGGUUCCAUGGAGCCGUGGGCGCGCAUGUCCUUGCCCAGAGCCAGAGGAAAGUCACAGGUGGACUUCGGGCUCACUGCCUGGAGACGGUGACGGACAUUAACCACACUGAGCUACAGAGAAAGAGAAUUGUAUGAAGAUCACCUGUCUGGAAAACCAGGUUUUUCUCAUUACAUGGACUGCAAUUGCUCUGCUGCAGAAAGUUCAUGGAAAUU
rnacentral:lncRNA from 1 species